rnacentral:rRNA from 1 species
CCUACGGGAGGCAGCAGUAGGGAAUCUUCCGCAAUGGACGCAAGUCUGACGGAGCAACGCCGCGUGAGUGAAGAAGGUCUUCGGAUCGUAAAGCUCUGUUGUUAGAGAAGAACAGCGCAUAGAGUAACUGUUAUGCGUGUGACGGUAUCUAACCAGAAAGCCACGGCUAACUACGUGCCAGCAGCCGCGGUAAUACGUAGGUGGCGAGCGUUGUCCGGAUUUAUUGGGCGUAAAGGGAGUGUAGGCGGUCUUUUAAGUCUGAUGUGAAAGCCCACGGCUCAACCGUGGAGGGUCAUUGGAAACUGGGAGACUUGAGUGCAGAAGAGGAGAGCGGAAUUCCAUGUGUAGCGGUGAAAUGCGUAGAUAUAUGGAGGAACACCAGUGGCGAAGGCGGCUCUCUGGUCUGUAACUGACGCUGAGGCUCGAAAGCGUGGGGAGCAAACAGGAUUAGAUACCCCAGUAGUC